AUUCCUACGGGACGCAGCAGUGGGGAAUAUUGCACAAUGGGGGAAACCCUGAUGCAGCGACGCCGCGUGAGUGAAGGAGCGUUUCGGCGCGUAAAGCCCUAUCGGCAGGGAAGAAGAUGACGGUACCUGACCAAGAAGCCCCGGCUAACUACGUGCCAGCAGCCGCGGUAAUACGUAGGGGGCAAGCGUUAUCCGGAUUUACUGGGUGUAAAGGGAGCGUAGACGGCAUAGCAAGUCUGAAGUGAAAGCCCGUGGCUCAACCGCGGAACUGCUUUGGAAACUGUUAAGCUGGAGUACUGGAGAGG
rnacentral:rRNA from 1 species